rnacentral:rRNA from 1 species
UACAGAGGGGGCAAGCGUUAUUCGGAAUUACUGGGCGUAAAGGGCGCGUAGGCGGCCUACUAAGUCAGACGUGAAAUCCCUCGGCUUAACCGGGGAACUGCGUCUGAUACUGGAUGGCUUGAGUUUUGGGAGAGGGAUGCGGAAUCCAGGUGUAGCGGUGAAAUGCGUAGAUAUCUGGAGGAACACCGGUAGCGAAGGCGGCAUCCUGGACCAACACUGACACUGAGGAGCGAAAGCCAGGGAGCAAACGGGAUAGAAAACCCGGUGAGCCAGACCGAAG